AAAGCCUGAUGGAGCAAUGCCGCGUGGAGGUAGAAGGCCCACGGGUCGUGAACUUCUUUUCCUAGAGAAGAAACAAUGAUGGUAUCUAGGGAAUAAGCAUCGGCUAACUCUAUGCCAGCAGCCGCAAUAAUACAGAGGAUGCAAGCGUUAUCCGGAAUGAUUAGGCGUAAAGCGUCUGUAGGUGGCUUUUUAAGUCCGCUGUCAAAUCCCAGGGCUCAACCCUAGACAGGCGGUGGAAACUACCAAGCUAGAGUACAGUAGGGGCAGAGGGAAUUUCCAAUGGAGCAGUGAAAUGCGUAGAGAUCAGAAAGAACAACAACGGCGAAAUCACUCUGUUGGGCCGACACUGGCACAGAGAGACGAAAGCUAGGGGAGCGAAUAGGAUUAGAUACCCCAGUAGCCCUAGCCAUAAAUGAUGGAUACUAGGUGCUAUGCGUAUCGACCCAUGCAGUGCCUAACGCGUUAAGCAUCCCGCCUGGGGAGUACGUUCGCAAGAAUGAAACUCAAAGGAAUUGAUGGGGGCCCGCACAAGCGGUGGAGCGUGUGGUUUAAUUCGAUGCAAAGAGAAGAACCUUACCAGGGCUUGACAUGCUGCAAAUCCUUUUGAAAGAGAGGGGUGCCUUCGAGAACGCGGACACAUGUGGUACAUGGCUGUCAUCAGCUUGUGCCAUAAGGUAUUGGGUUAAGUCCCGCAACGAGUGCAACCCUCAUGUUUAGUUGCCAUCGUUGAGUUUGGAACCCUGAACAGACUGCCGAUGAUAAGCCGAAGGAAGGUGAGGAUGACGUCAAGUCAUCAUGCCCCUUAUGCCCUGGGUGACACACGUGCUACAAUGGCCGGGACAAAGGGUCGUGAUCCACCGAUGGUGAGCUAACCCCAAAAACCCAUCCUCAGUUUAGAUAGCAGGCUGCAAUUCGCCUGCAUGAAGCCAGAAUCGCUAGUAAUCUCCGGUCAGCCAUACGAUGGUGAAUUCGUUCCCAGGCCUUGUACAUACCGCCCAUCACACUAUGGGAGCUGGCCAUGCCCGAAAUCAUUACCUUAACUGUAAGGAGGGGGAUGCCGAAGGUAGGGCUAGUGACUGUAGUGAAGUUUUAACAAAGUAACUGUACUGGAAGGUGCUACUA
rnacentral:rRNA from 1 species